rnacentral:rRNA from 1 species
GAUGAACGCUGGCGGCGUGCCUAAUACAUGCAAGUCGAGCGAACAGACGAGGAGCUUGCUCCUCUGACGUUAGCGGCGGACGGGUGAGUAACACGUGGAUAACCUACCUAUAAGACUGGGAUAACUUCGGGAAACCGGAGCUAAUACCGGAUAAUAUAUUGAACCGCAUGGUUCAAUAGUGAAAGACGGUUUUGCUGUCACUUAUAGAUGGAUCCGCGCCGCAUUAGCUAGUUGGUAAGGUAACGGCUUACCAAGGCGACGAUGCGUAGCCGACCUGAGAGGGUGAUCGGCCACACUGGAACUGAGACACGGUCCAGACUCCUACGGGAGGCAGCAGUAGGGAAUCUUCCGCAAUGGGCGAAAGCCUGACGGAGCAACGCCGCGUGAGUGAUGAAGGUCUUCGGAUCGUAAAACUCUGUUAUUAGGGAAGAACAAAUGUGUAAGUAACUAUGCACGUCUUGACGGUACCUAAUCAGAAAGCUACGGCUAACUACGUG